GCAAGUCGAGCGGUAGAGAGGUGCUUGCACCUCUUGAGAGCGGCGGACGGGUGAGUAAAGCCUAGGAAUCUGCCUGGUAGUGGGGGAUAACGCUCGGAAACGGACGCUAAUACCGCAUACGUCCUACGGGAGAAAGCAGGGGACCUUCGGGCCUUGCGCUAUCAGAUGAGCCUAGGUCGGAUUAGCUAGUUGGUGAGGUAAUGGCUCACCAAGGCGACGAUCCGUAACUGGUCUGAGAGGAUGAUCAGUCACACUGGAACUGAGACACGGUCCAGACUCCUACGGGAGGCAGCAGUGGGGAAUAUUGGACAAUGGGCGAAAGCCUGAUCCAGCCAUGCCGCGUGUGUGAAGAAGGUCUUCGGAUUGUAAAGCACUUUAAGUUGGGAGGAAGGGCAUUAACCUAAUACGUUAGUGUUUUGACGUUACCGACAGAAUAAGCACCGGCUAACUCUGUGCCAGCAGCCGCGGUAAUACAGAGGGUGCAAGCGUUAAUCGGAAUUACUGGGCGUAAAGCGCGCGUAGGUGGUUCGUUAAGUUGGAUGUGAAAUCCCCGGGCUCAACCUGGGAACUGCAUUCAAAACUGUCGAGCUAGAGUAUGG
rnacentral:rRNA from 1 species